GACGAACGCUGGCGGCGUGCUUAACACAUGCAAGUCGAACGAUGAAGCCGGAGCUUGCUCUGGUGAAUUAGUGGCGAACGGGUGAGUAACACGUGAGUAACCUGCCCUUGACUCUGGGAUAACUGCGGGAAACUGUAGCUAAUACCGGAUACGACCCUCGGAGGCAUCUCCUGGGGGUGGAAAGAAUUUCGGUAAAGGAUGGACUCGCGGCCUAUCAGCUAGUUGGUGAGGUAAAGGCUCACCAAAGCGACGACGUGCAGCCGGCCUGAGAGGGUGACCGGCCACACUGGGACUGCGACACGGCCCAGACUCCUACGGGAGGCAGCAGUGGGGAAUAUUGCACAAUGGGCGCAAGCCUGAUGCAGCAACGCCGCGUGAGGGAUGACGGCCUUCGGGUUGUAAACCUCUUUUAGCAGGGAAGAAGCGAAAGUGACGGUACCUGCAGAAAAAGCACCGGCUAACUACGUGCCAGCCGCCGCAGUAA
rnacentral:rRNA from 1 species